AGCUUUGUGCAGUGGCGGUACCAUAGCCAAUGAGGAAUGUCCGAGGCGUGGUUAUUGCUAGUUGAAAACUAUACCCAAUACCCCGCACUGACGACUUUAAUAGUCGGCAGUUGCAAUUUAUGGAGGCUUCUACGGAAG
rnacentral:snRNA from 1 species